UACGGAGGAUGCGAGCGUUAUCCGGAUUUAUUGGGUUUAAAGGGUGCGUAGGUGGGCUGUUAAGUCAGUGGUGAAAGUUUGUCGCUCAACGAUAAAAUUGCCGUUGAAACUGGUGGUCUUGAGUAUGGAUGAAGUAGGCGGAAUGCGUGGUGUAGCGGUGAAAUGCAUAGAGAUCACGCAGAACUCCGAUUGCGAAGGCAGCUUACUAAGGCAUAACUGACACUGAAGCACGAAAGCGUGGGUAUCAAACAGG
rnacentral:rRNA from 1 species